AUGUGCUGGUGUGAUAACCCUGCCUAAGCCAUAUUAGAUUCAGCUUCAAGCCUACACUGGUGUAUAAACACACUUUGUGUCUGUCAGCUGUUGUCAUGUUACAAAAUCUAAGUGCCUGUGAACCACAUUCAGUCAUGCAGUAUUAGGGACAGACAACAUGUGUUUGGAAAGACUUGAAUCAAGCUAGGGAUGCAAAGUGGUCCCAGCUAAACCCUUCCUCAAAGUGUGCCAAGUGUUCAGCACAUGUGUACUCACUGUUUGUGGAACUGUGGAGGAUGAAGCAAAUGUUGGUGAAGAAUGUUGAGUCUGACUUGAUGCUGGUGAUCCAUGUACUCCCCGCUUCACGGUUCGACAGACAGGUGUACACCAGCCUGUGGGUGGAGGGAGAGUGUUAGUGGACAAUUGACAGACAGGUGUACACCAGCCUGUGGGUAGAGGGAGAGUGUGAGUAGACAAUCGACAGACAGGUGUUCACCAGCCUGUGGGUGGAGGGAGAGUGUGAGUGGACAGUUACCAGACAGGUGUUCACCAGCCUGUGGGUGGAGGGAGAGUGUUAGUGGCUUUUCUUGUCUGCUAGUCAGCUCCCUGGGGAGUAUACAACCAAAGCUGUGAGGCGCCAGAAGGUUAACUGUCACAUUACCAUCUCAUCCUACCGGGUACCCAUUCACUGCUGGGUGAACAGAGGCAUACUUCAAACAAAGUCACUUGUCUAAGGAGACACCACGUGUAACAUCGGCUUCAGUGUGGGGCAGGCCUGAAGCCCUAGAAACUCUCAGGAGUCAAGUUGCUGAAGACGAUUACCCAUCCAACUACUCUCUGUGACCAAUUCUGCUUAACUUCGCCUGAUUUGUGACCUGCACACUAUACAUAGGACUAAGUGCCACCACGUGCCAAUCCAGUGAUUGAUAUUGUGAGUAACAAUCCACGCCAUUGGGGUGUGAUGACAUGCAAUCAACCAAAUCAGUGAGCCUGGACACCCGAUCCAUUUACAAAAAAAGUAGUCACCUCUUACAACCAGCAUAGGUUGCUGGUGACCUAUUCUAAUCCAGAAUCCCCAUAGAUUACGAACAUAUUAAAGAACUCACAGUCACUCUUGGGGCUUUGGACUUAGCAAUCACACCAGUCAAAAUCUCCACUGCUUUGAAUUCAUCUAGGAAAGAUGCAACCUCCUAAAAAAUGAGACAAAUAUCAAAAUAUGUUCAUUAUUAUAAGGGUAACGUUAUUUUUCGGGGCAUUAUCAUUGGCAGAAACCUGAGGUCUUCCAUUAACUGCCCGAUGAAGGAGGGCAUUUGAAAAAUAGGCUUACCGUUAUUAUAGCUAAAAUAGACAGAAUUUGUCAUCCAAUAAAAAGAAAC